CAACAAAUUUAAUAGUUAUACUGAGUUCAUGGUUUUUCAACCAAUUAAAAAUUCUGGUCAAGUUCCAAGUAAACUGAUCCAUACUUCAAAACAGACGAAUUACUUUUAUUACAGCCAAAACAAAACUUACAAAUCCGGCCACACAAAAUUCAACAUACACCAGCUCUCCCAGCUUGCACACAAUAAUUCUUUCCACAAUGUAUCCAAAUCCCGACGACAGCACAGAACACAACGGACCACCAGUGAACCGUGACAACAUGGGAGACUGUACAACGCCCUCCAUCGGAGCUUUCUUUUAUAACUGCUCGCAUUUACAUAUUAUCAUGAACAUUAAUUAAACAUACUAAUAUCAUUAAUAAAGAAAAAUUAUUUGUUUACAGAAAACAAUAUCAAUAGAAAAAACAUUAAUUAAACAUUGUUUAAAAUUAUUAAUUGCAUAAAAAAAAUUUUCUUUCUCUUUUCUUUAUUUUAUCCAUCCAACUCCGAC
rnacentral:lncRNA from 1 species